GAGGGUGUAGCUCAGUGGUAGAGUGCACGCUUAGCAUGCAUGAGGUCCUGGGUUCAAUCCCCAGUGCCUCCA
rnacentral:tRNA from 1 species